UACGUAGGGCGCAAGCGUUGUCCGGAAUUAUUGGGCGUAAAGAGCUCGUAGGCGGCUUGUCGCGUCGACUGUGAAAACCCGUGGCUCAACCAUGUGGUCUGCAGUCGAUACGGGCAGGCUAGAAUUCGGUAGGGGAGACUGGAAUUCCUGGUGUAGCGGUGAAAUGCGCAGAUAUCAGGAGGAACACCGGUGGCGAAGGCGGGUCUCUGGGCCGAUAUUGACGCUGAGGAGCGAAAGCGUGGGGAGCGAACAGG
rnacentral:rRNA from 1 species